rnacentral:rRNA from 1 species
UACGAAGGAUGCGAGCGUUAUCCGGAUUUAUUGGGUUUAAAGGGUGCGUAGGCGGCCUUAUAAGUCUGUGGUGAAAUCCUAUCGCUUAACGAUAGACGUGCCAUUGAUACUGUAGGGCUUGAGUACAGAUGCCGUUGGCGGAAUGUGUCAUGUAGCGGUGAAAUGCAUAGAUAUGACACAGAACACCGAUUGCGAAGGCAGCUGACGAAACUGUAACUGACGCUGAGGCACGAAAGCGUGGGGAUCAAACAGG